UGUUAGCCUGUAGGAUUCGACCGACAUGCUAUGCUAGGAGGCUGACAGAGGUAAGCUAAGGGGAAACGGUCAUAAAUUACCUGGGUCUACAUCCGUGUUUCGGACUGUUUCGCCUUCUGAUGAUGGACCGACAGGACUUAUCUGGAUUCUUCUGCUGUGGAUAGAAAGGUGGAGUUUGCCGGUUUUUAUUCCACGUGGCCAUGAUGUGAAGUAAAUUCAAACUCACCUGUCUAGUGGGGUUUGCAUGGCUACCGACAUCCAUCCUGCACACCUAAGAGAAUUCAAAGGAUUUGUGCUGAAUCCAAUCCAGUGUCUCACUUUAAGGAGAAGAGGUUUGACAAGACAGCUGUUUUUCAUGCCAAAGAGAUCAAAAAUCCAUAAAUAUUUGCUCUAAAGAAGUUUCAGG